CAGCCACUCGUGGUGCUCUGCCCAAAUUUUUUUGGGAAAAAAAAACAAACGAAAAACAAAAAUUUGGGAAUUUUGGGAAAAUUCGGGAAUUCCGUCCCCAUUUCGCUUCCUUUGGAGGGAUUUUCCCGGAGUUUUCUGCGGGUUUUUUGGGGUUUUUGGUUUUUUUUGGUUUUUUUUGGGGAGGUUGGAUUGUGGAAUUCCAGGAUUUUCACUGGGGAUUCCAGGCAAGAAUUUCAGGAUUUUUCCAGGAAUUCCAUCCAAGAAUUCCAGGAUUUCAUUUGGAAUUCCAGCCCAGAAUUCCAGGAUUUUUCCAGGAAUCCAAGCCUGGAAUUCCAGAAUUUUUUCCAGGAUUUCACCCCGGAAUUCCAGGAUUUCAUUUUAGGAUUCCAUCCUGGAAUUCCGNCAUCAGCUGCCGCUCUGCCGCCUCCUCCUGCGCCGCUGUUGUGAGGACACACAAGAUGGCGGCGGCAUCGGGACACACAACAUGGCGGCGUCGCAUAGCAACCGCCGCUAUUGACAGGUCGCACAGCCAAUCAGCGCUGAGGAUACUGGGAGGUGGAGGCAGCCAGCCAAUGGGAGGCGGGGGUGCUGCCGGAAAUGGACACAGGGAGAAGGUUGUACGGAAAAGCGCGGUGCGGGCUCUGAGACGCGGGUCUAAUUAAUCCACUGUGUUAAUUAGGGUACGAAACUAGACGGAGCCGGUGCCGCUCUCGGGUGCUCGGCCGCUGUCGGGGCCCGCGCCGCCACCAGCUGCCGCUCUGCCGCCUCCUCCUGCGCCGCUGUUGUGGGGACACACAAGAUGGCGGCGACGGCGGGUCACGCAAGAUGGCGGCGGCAUCGGGACACACAACAUGGCGGCGUCGCGUAGCAACCGCUGCGAUUGACAGUUCGAGCAGCCAAUCAGCGCUGCGGAAACAGGGAGACCGGCCAAUGGGAGGCUGGGAUCUCGCCGGAAAGAGGAGGGACACAAGAAGAAAGGGAUUGUGGGAAGGCGGUUUGUACGGAAAGCAAAACCGGGUCUAAAUGCCUUAAUUCAGCUAGAAAUUAGAAUUCCCGAUGAAUUAAUUGAUUUUCCUGAUGAAUUAAUUGGUUUUUCAAUGAUAAAGUUGAUUUUUCAAUGAAUAAAUUGAUUUUUCCAAUGGAUAAAUUGAUUUUUCCCUCCCAGCCCCUCCCAGUCCGGUCCCAUUGCUCCCAGUCUCACCAGUAAGGUUCCCAAAGUUCACCCCAGUCCCCCCCAGUCCCUCCCAGUUCCAUCCCAGUCCCUCCCAGUUCCAUCUCAGUCCCUCCCUGUAUCCCAUUAUCCCCUCCCAGUCCCAUCCCAGUCUCUCCCCCCCCCCCCCCCCCCCCCCCCCCCCCCCCCCCCCCCCCCCCCCCCCCCCCCCCCCCCCCCCCCCCCCCCCCCCCCCCCCCCCCCCCCCCCCCCCCCCCCCCCCCCCCCCCCCCCCCCCCCCCCCCCCCCCCCCCCCCCCCCCCUCCCAGUUCACUCCCAGUGCCUCCCGGUUCAUCCCAAUCCCUCCCAUUCCCUCUCAGUCCCUCCCAGUAUCCCAUUAUCCCCUCCCAGUUCCCUCCCAGUCCGGUCUCAUUGCUCCCAGUCUCACCAGUAAGGUUCCCAAAGUUCAUCCCAGUCCCCGCCAGUUCCAUCCCAGUCCCCAGAUCGGAAGAGCGGUUCAGCCCCCCCCCCCCCCCCCCCCCCCCCCCCCCCCCCCCCCCCCCC
rnacentral:lncRNA from 12 species